rnacentral:lncRNA from 1 species
CGGCAGUGUUGACUUCUGGUCUCUGUCUGUGCAUUCACGGGUACCUACAGGCACACGUGUGUGUACACACACACACACUUCUCCCUCUCUUAAAUGUGAGUACACAUUGUGAUGAAAUGAAACCAAUUUUAGACUCUCGGACAAAGGUGCUCAUCACAGGUCGGAUCUCUCGCGCAACUGGCCAGCUGCUGCACGGCCCUUUGGAAGAGAACCCCAGGAGUCUCGAGGAGAUGCGAGCCGCUUCUGUGUUCCUGCUGGCGGCUGCGGUCGGUCGUCCGGUUAGCUGGAGCUCAAGAUCUGCAAGCCACAGACAACAGAAUGGAAAGCAGGGAACUGAAAUCUAAGGGUUGCUUUCCACAUCAUGAGAGCCCCACAGCACCGCUGGCAUGAAGCACCCCGACACCAAGCUCAGAAACACGGAGCCACAGCUCUAGUUCAUGUGCUCUGAGAGAGGGCGAUUUAUCGGGCAGUUUGUACCGUUCUCAGGGCAGAGCUCUGGACUCCUCUGCCGCCUCCACCCAGCAGGGAUUUGGUCAUCUCCUUAAGUGUGACCUCAUAGUUUCAUUUAAAAGGAGUUUUCCUAAUACGUUGAAAAAAAAAAAAUACAGUUGAAUCAUGGCAUGACCCUGUUGUGUAAAGCGAGAUAUCUGGUCCCGUUUCCCUGUGGCUGCGGGUUCUGGGUUGGAGGGCCAAGCGGUACAAAGCCGCUUCUUUCAUGAAGACCGCUGCCUUUUUCUUUAUUUCCAAAGUGGC